rnacentral:rRNA from 1 species
AUUGAACGCUGGCGGCAUGCCUUACACAUGCAAGUCGAACGGCAGCACGGGAGCAAUCCUGGUGGCGAGUGGCGAACGGGUGAGUAAUAUAUCGGAACGUGCCCAGUCGUGGGGGAUAACGCAGCGAAAGCUGUGCUAAUACCGCAUACGAUCUAUGGAUGAAAGCGGGGGACUCGCAAGAGCCUCGCGCGAUUGGAGCGGCCGAUAUCAGAUUAGCUAGUUGGUGGGGUAAAAGCCCACCAAGGCGACGAUCUGUAGCUGGUCUGAGAGGACGACCAGCCACACUGGAACUGAGACACGGUCCAGACUCCUACGGGAGGCAGCAGUGGGGAAUUUUGGACAAUGGGCGCAAGCCUGAUCCAGCAAUGCCGCGUGCAGGAUGAAGGCCUUCGGGUUGUAAACUGCUUUUGUACGGAACGAAACGGCUCGCUUUAAUACAGUGGGCUAAUGACGGUACCGUAAGAAUAAGCACCGGCUAACUACGUGCCAGCAGCCGCGGUAAUACGUAGGGUGCAAGCGUUAAUCGGAAUUACUGGGCGUAAAGCGUGCGCAGGCGGUUAUAUAAGACAGAUGUGAAAUCCCCGGGCUCAACCUGGGACCUGCAUUUGUGACUGUAUAGCUAGAGUACGGUAGAGGGGGAUGGAAUUCCGCGUGUAGCAGUGAAAUGCGUAGAUAUGCGGAGGAACACCGAUGGCGAAGGCAAUCCCCUGGACCUGUACUGACGCUCAUGCACGAAAGCGUGGGGAGCA